GACCACCAAUGGCAUCGUCUAUUAUCCAAGCGCAGUUAGCUAUGAUAUUCCGAGACUUCCCAAUGUGUAUGGGUGUGGGUGUUGACAGCUCAGACGUUCGCUCAACCCUUUCCAUCCGUGACGCAGACGUCGGCGUCACGGUAUGGAGAGGCUCAAGAGGAAAUGGGAGAGAAUUAAUGCUCUUCUGACCCUCUCAAUCCUCCUCUAAGUUCCUCUUCCAUUUUCUCUUAAGAGGUUUAGGAGAGGAUUAAGAGGUUUAGAAGAGGAUUAAGAGGUUUAGAAGAGGAUUAAGAGGUUUAGAAGAGGAUUAAGAGGUUUAGAAGAGGAUUAAGAGGUUUAGAAGAGGAUUAAGAGGUUUAGAAGAGGAUUAAGAGAUUUAGAAGAGGAUUAAGAGGUUUAGAAGAGGAUUAAGAGGUUUAGAAGAGGAUUAAGAGGUUUGGAAGAGGAUUAAGAGGUUUAGAAGAGGAUUAAGAGGUUUAGAAGAGGAUUAAGAGGUUUAGAAGAGGAUUAAGAGGUUUAGAAGAGGAUUAAGAGGUUUAGAAGAGGAUUAAGAGGUUUAGAAGAGGAUUAAGAGGUUUAGAAGAGGAUUAAGAGGUUUAGAAGAGGAUUAAGAGGUUUAGAAGAGGAUUAAGAGGCUUAGAAGAGGAUUAAGAGGUUUAGAAGAGGAUUAAGAGGUUUAGAAGAGGAUUAAGAGGCUUAGAAGAGGACUAACGGAGAAGGGGUUAAAGCCUUCGAUAACAUAUUACAUUCAAGAAAAUAUGCAUUCCUAUCAAUGUUAACAAAGUUUGAAAGAUGAAAGUAAGAAAAUCACUGAAUUAAACCAUAAUUUCUUUAACAAAACACCUUUCUGAAAAGACACAGGUUGGUAUUAUGAGAUACUUUCGGUUCUCACAUCAGCUAUUUCUAAAGGUCAGAGAGGGGGUCAGUCGGGUUCUAAUGAGUGUUUCUUCAGGUUCACGGUACAGAGGAAGGGUCACACUACCACCAGGGUCAUGAAACUACUCCUGGAAAUGCCUACAACUCCUAUGAAAGCCUUGUCAAAUAUGUGUUUCUUCAGGUUCACGGUACAGAGGAAGGGUCACACUACCACCAGGGUCAUGAAACUACUCCUGGAAAUGCCUACAACUCCUAUGAAAGCCUUGUCAAAUAUGUGUUCUUCAGGUUCACGGUACAGAGGAAGGGUCACACUACCACCAGGGUCAUGAAACUACUCCUGGAAAUGCCUACAAGCCCUAUGAAAGCCUUGUCAAAUAUGUGUUUCUUCAGGUUCACGGUACAGAGGAAGGGUCACACUACCACCAGGGUCAUGAAACUACUCCUGGAAAUGCCUACAACUCCUAUGAAAGCCUUGUCAAAUAUGUGUUUCUUCAGGUUCACGGUACAGAGGAAGGGUCACACUACCACCAGGGUCAUGAAACUACUCCUGGAAAUGCCUACAACCCCUAUGAAAGCCUUGUCAAAUAUGUGUUUCUUCAGGUUCACGGUACAGAGGAAGGGUCACACUACCACCAGGGUCAUGAAACUACUCCUGGAAAUGCCUACAACCCCUAUGAAAGCCUUGUCAAAUAUGUGUUCUUCAGGUUCACGGUACAGAGGAAGGGUCACACUACCACCAGGGUCAUGAAACUACUCCUGGAAAUGCCUACAACCCCUAUGAAAGCCUUGUCAAAUAUGUGUUCUUGGGCGACGAAAUGUCUUAUGAUGCGAUCCACAGUAUCUUGUUGCUGUG